rnacentral:lncRNA from 1 species
UUUAGUUUUAUGUAUUUUAGAUUAUCGUUGCUCUGAUCUAUAACACUAGGCGGACACACGUUAUGUUUUUUUAUUCUGAGUUAUGGUUGCGAGAUUAAAGGUUAUAACUCCUGAUUUUUUGAGUUUUUUUUAUGUUGAAGGCAUAUUGCCUUGUUUGAGUUUGUACUUAAAUAAAAGUUAUAUUUGAACUUAUUCGAUUGAGUAGUUAUUUUUAAUGAUUA